rnacentral:ncRNA from 1 species
AGCGCGUUUCAAGCGGCUUAAUCAACAGCGAAUUUUGCUUCAGAUUUACAUCCCCCGUGGCCCGAACCUCCUGCCCGUCCAGCGGUAUAUCAAGAUGUAAGCGACCACUUACAUCUCCACCAAUCUGUAGCUCAUCCAGCGCGGCACCCAGCGAGGAUUUCAGCGGCGAGUGGUUAAAAUAGUCGCGGAUCUGCGGGCCUUCACCCUUAAUAUCGCCGUUAAUAAUCAGCUUCUGCUGCAUAUAAUCCGGAAUGACUGCCGAAAUAUUGCGUCCGUCAACCUCACCCAGCUUCACGUCCGGCGCCUGCAUCCACAGCCCGUUGUUGGCAAAAUCGAGGUCGAUAUCCAGGUUUUCCAGCGCUGGCCAUCCGGGCUGAAACGCAAAGGUCGCCUUACGCAGCGGUACC